rnacentral:lncRNA from 1 species
AAAAUAUAGAGGUUAUCUGUAUUAAAAACACAAGUGCACACACAUGCACACACACAUAUACACAGCAGAAAGAUAUAGGAACUUAAUAGCAUAUGAACCAGAAGCCAUACAAGAGUCAUUAUAUAAAAAUAUUAUUUCAUAAAACUUAUAAAGGUUAAUAAAAAGCCUAAAAAGGAUAAAUAAAUGGCCCCAAAGGUGCAGCAAAAUGAAGAUAGAAUGGGAAAAUAAAGAAACAGG